rnacentral:miRNA from 13 species
AGCAGCUGGUUGCACGCCCCAC